rnacentral:rRNA from 1 species
AGUGAACGCUGGCGGUAGGCCUAACACAUGCAAGUCGAACGGCAGCACAGUAAGAGCUUGCUCUUACGGGUGGCGAGUGGCGGACGGGUGAGGAAUACAUCGGAAUCUACUUUUUCGUGGGGGAUAACGUAGGGAAACUUACGCUAAUACCGCAUACGACCUACGGGUGAAAGCAGGGGAUCUUCGGACCUUGCGCGAUUGAAUGAGCCGAUGUCGGAUUAGCUAGUUGGCGGGGUAAAGGCCCACCAAGGCGACGAUCGGUAGCUGGUCUGAGAGGAUGGUACGCCACAUUGGAAGUGAGACGCGGUCCAGGCUACUACGGGAGGCCGCAGUGGGGAAUAGUGGACAACGGGGGCAAGCCUGAUACAGCCAUCCCGAGUGGGUGAAGGAGGCCUUCGGGUUGUAAAGCCCUUUUGUUGGGAAAGAAAAGCAUCAGGUUAAUACCCCGCUGUUCUGACGGUACCCAAAGAAUAAGCACCGGCUAACUUCGUG